GAAGUGGCCGUGGGUUCCCAUUCUGACACAUGAGAGGGAAGAGAAGCUGACACUGCCUCUCCCUCACUUCCUGCCUAGAAUGUGGAAGUGAUGCUCAGUGCAAACCAAGUUAUGAAAGAGCAGAGGGAGCAGAAAGGGAAGAGUCUCUUCACAGAGAAGAUCAGAGAGACCAGGAGGAGGCCACAUGGCCUCUGAGAGAAGCCGGGGUGAAGACCGAGGCCUGGAGCAGCCCAGACUUGUCACGCCAUCUUCUGGAACAUCACCCUGACUCCCCAAACCCUGAGCUCCAGCCCGAGUAUCUUGCGACUCCGUUACCUGCCGUCACGGUCGGAGGUGCCUGUUCUGGCCAAGGUGUUCCGUGCGCCCCGACAAGACUGUUUGAACUAGGUUGGCAUCUGUCACGGUACAAAGCGUCCCUCCCGUUCUGGCCUGCCCCACACGGAGCUCCUACUUCCCUCCAGGGCCCAGGUCAAGCUGUCGCCUGCUCUGAGAAACUGCCUGAUCCCCACUCAGACCCGAGCUCAGUUGCACAUGGCUCCACUAUCAGUUCUCACGCUG
rnacentral:lncRNA from 1 species